rnacentral:rRNA from 2 species
GGGUUGUGAGGUUAAGCGACUAAGCGUACACGGUGGAUGCCCUGGCAGUCAGAGGCGAUGAAGGACGUGCUAAUCUGCGAAAAGCGUCGGUAAGGUGAUAUGAACCGUUAUAACCGGCGAUGUCCGAAUGGGGAAACCCAGUGUGAUUCGUCACACUAUCGUUAACUGAAUACAUAGGUUAACGAGGCGAACCGGGGGAACUGAAACAUCUAAGUACCCCGAGGAAAAGAAAUCAACCGAGAUUCCCCCAGUAGCGGCGAGCGAACGGGGAGCAGCCCAGAGUCUGAAUCAGCUUGUGUGUUAGUGGAACGGUCUGGAAAGUCCGACGGUACAGGGUGAUAGUCCCGUACACCAAAAUGCACAGGCUGUGAACUCGAAGAGUAGGGCGGGACACGUGGUAUCCUGUCUGAAUAUGGGGGGACCAUCCUCCAAGGCUAAAUACUCCUGACUGACCGAUAGUGAACCAGUACCGUGAGGGAAAGGCGAAAAGAACCCCGGCGAGGGGAGUGAAAAAGAACCUGAAACCGUGUACGUACAAGCAGUGGGAGCACCUUCGGGUGUGACUGCGUACCUUUUGUAUAAUGGGUCAGCGACUUAUAUUCUGUAGCAAGGUUAACCGUAUAGGGGAGCCGCAGGGAAACCGAGUCUUAACUGGGCGUUAAGUUGCAGGGUAUAGACCCGAAACCCGGUGAUCUAGCCAUGGGCAGGUUGAAGGUUGGGUAACACUAACUGGAGGACCGAACCGACUAAUGUUGAAAAAUUAGCGGAUGACUUGUGGCUGGGGGUGAAAGGCCAAUCAAACCGGGAGAUAGCUGGUUCUCCCCGAAAGCUAUUUAGGUAGCGCCUCGUGAACUCAUCUUCGGGGGUAGAGCACUGUUUCGGCUAGGGGGUCAUCCCGACUUACCAACCCGAUGCAAACUACGAAUACCGAAGAAUGUUAUCACGGGAGACACACGGCGGGUGCUAACGUCCGUCGUGAAGAGGGAAACAACCCAGACCGCCAGCUAAGGUCCCAAAGUCAUGGUUAAGUGGGAAACGAUGUGGGAAGGCACAGACAGCCAGGAUGUUGGCUUAGAAGCAGCCAUCAUUUAAAGAAAGCGUAAUAGCUCACUGGUCGAGUCGGCCUGCGCGGAAGAUGUAACGGGGCUAAACCAUGCACCGAAGCUGCGGCAGCGACACUAUGUGUUGUUGGGUAGGGGAGCGUUCUGUAAGCCUGCGAAGGUGUGCUGUGAGGCAUGCUGGAGGUAUCAGAAGUGCGAAUGCUGACAUAAGUAACGAUAAAGCGGGUGAAAAGCCCGCUCGCCGGAAGACCAAGGGUUCCUGUCCAACGUUAAUCGGGGCAGGGUGAGUCGACCCCUAAGGCGAGGCCGAAAGGCGUAGUCGAUGGGAAACAGGUUAAUAUUCCUGUACUUGGUGUUACUGCGAAGGGGGGACGGAGAAGGCUAUGUUAGCCGGGCGACGGUUGUCCCGGUUUAAGCAUGUAGGCUGGUUAUCCAGGCAAAUCCGGAUAAUCAAGGCUGAGGUGUGAUGACGAGGCACUACGGUGCUGAAGUAACAAAUGCCCUGCUUCCAGGAAAAGCCUCUAAGCAUCAGGUAACAUCAAAUCGUACCCCAAACCGACACAGGUGGUCAGGUAGAGAAUACCAAGGCGCUUGAGAGAACUCGGGUGAAGGAACUAGGCAAAAUGGUGCCGUAACUUCGGGAGAAGGCACGCUGGUGUGUAGGUGAAGUCCCUGCGGAUGGAGCUGAGACCAGUCGAAGAUACCAGCUGGCUGCAACUGUUUAUUAAAAACACAGCACUGUGCAAACACGAAAGUGGACGUAUACGGUGUGACGCCUGCCCGGUGCCGGAAGGUUAAUUGAUGGGGUUAUCCGUAAGGAGAAGCUCUUGAUCGAAGCCCCGGUAAACGGCGGCCGUAACUAUAACGGUCCUAAGGUAGCGAAAUUCCUUGUCGGGUAAGUUCCGACCUGCACGAAUGGCGUAAUGAUGGCCAGGCUGUCUCCACCCGAGACUCAGUGAAAUUGAACUCGCUGUGAAGAUGCAGUGUACCCGCGGCAAGACGGAAAGACCCCGUGAACCUUUACUAUAGCUUGACACUGAACAUUGAGCCUUGAUGUGUAGGAUAGGUGGGAGGCUUUGAAGCGUGGACGCCAGUCUGCGUGGAGCCAACCUUGAAAUACCACCCUUUAAUGUUUGAUGUUCUAACGUUGGCCCCUGACCGGGGUUGCGGACAGUGUCUGGUGGGUAGUUUGACUGGGGCGGUCUCCUCCCAAAGCGUAACGGAGGAGCACGAAGGUUAGCUAAUCCUGGUCGGACAUCAGGAGGUUAGUGCAAUGGCAUAAGCUAGCUUGACUGCGAGCGUGACGGCGCGAGCAGGUGCGAAAGCAGGUCAUAGUGAUCCGGUGGUUCUGAAUGGAAGGGCCAUCGCUCAACGGAUAAAAGGUACUCCGGGGAUAACAGGCUGAUACCGCCCAAGAGUUCAUAUCGACGGCGGUGUUUGGCACCUCGAUGUCGGCUCAUCACAUCCUGGGGCUGAAGUAGGUCCCAAGGGUAUGGCUGUUCGCCAUUUAAAGUGGUACGCGAGCUGGGUUUAGAACGUCGUGAGACAGUUCGGUCCCUAUCUGCCGUGGGCGCUGGAGAAUUGAGGGGGGCUGCUCCUAGUACGAGAGGACCGGAGUGGACGCAUCACUGGUGUUCGGGUUGUCAUGCCAAUGGCACUGCCCGGUAGCUAAAUGCGGAAGAGAUAAGUGCUGAAAGCAUCUAAGCACGAAACUUGCCCCGAGAUGAGUUCUCCCUGAGACU